rnacentral:lncRNA from 1 species
GAUAUCUUUCUCUGUUUUGUUCACUGAUGAAGCCAAGUGCCUAGUAGAGUCUCUGGUACAUAGUCAGGACUCGGUACAUAGUUGCUGAAUAAAGGAAUGAACACGUCCAUCUCUUGGAUAACCCUGCUCCAAUGUGGACUGUUGAGAAUAGGCUGCAGGGCACAAGGGUAAACCCAGGGAGAAUGAUUUGGAGGCUGCUGCAGCAAUCCAGGUAAGAGGCAAUGUGUCUUAGACCAGGAUAGUCGCAAUGAAGGUGGUACAAUUUGUAGGAUUCUGGUCAUAUUUUGAGGGUAAAGCCAACAGGAUUUCCUGGUGAGUUGGAUAUGGCAUGUAAGAGAAGGGAGUUAAGAACAAGUUCAAAGUUUUGGCAGGAGCACCUGGAAGGAUAGGGUUACUAUCAACUGAAAUGGAGAAGGCUGCAUUUGGAGAAUAUUUUGGGGAAUGGGGAAUGGGGAGGUGUGGUUAGAAAUUAAUCUUUGACAUUUGAGUUUCAGAUAUUCAUUAGAAAUCUACGUGGAGAUGCCAAGAAAUCUAUGAGUCAGGAGUUUAUGAGAGAAGUCUGACCUGGAGAUGAAUUUAUUGAAUGCUGUCAUCAGUAAUGUCCCCACUGCCCUCGUAUGUCUUUUUAAGCUGAAGACAAAAGAUCAGUUGAUAAGAAGACACUCAUUUCACCUGACAGAAGUGUUCUAUGCUGAACUUCUCCGGGGAGCUGGUGGUGGGCACAGUGAGCCUGGAAGAAGAAAAAUAGAGCAAUCUACUUUUUUGACCAUCUUUAUGCCAGAUGUCUAAUCUCUAAUUCACAUUCUAGUCCUGCCAGAUAACCCAAGUGCAGAAGCCUAGUGAUUCCCAGGAGUUACUCAUGUCUUGCCCAUUGCAUUCCUCAGAAAGGAGAGAAAAACUCUCAGUAAAUCUGAAAUUUAUUUAAAAAUAAAGUAUAAUUGAUGUACAACAUUAUAUUAGUUUCAGGUAUAUGAUAUAAUGAUUCGUUAUUUGUAUAUAUUACAAAAUGAUCACCACAAUAAGUCUAGCUAACAUGCAUCACCA